rnacentral:tRNA from 1 species
GGCAUAGCUCAGUAGUAGAGCUUGUGCUUAGUAUGCAUAAGGCCCUAGAUUCAAUCCCCAGUGCC